UUGUUUGCAUCCUAAUAAAUUGGAAUUUGUAGCUGUCUCUAAAUAUAAACUUGAUUCUCAGUAAGUAAGAUAGUUGGAAUUUAAAAAAUUCUGUGAAAUGUCUAAAACAAGACUAAGGUUGCAUAUCCUAAGGUUGCAUAAAUUCAGGAUUUUAAAAAUAUUAUAAAUGCUUGGAUUAAUUCUUGCCUGCUAAUUGGCUUUUCUUAUACUAAUCUUUUUUUUUUUUUUUGACAGAGUUAAACAGUGAGAGAGAGAGAGACAGAGAGAAAGGUCUUCUUUCCGUUGAUUCACCCCCCCCAAAUGGCCACCACAGCUGGAACGCUGUGCCAAUCUGAAGCCAGGAGCCAGGUGCUUCCUCCUGGUCUCCCAUGCGGGUGCAGGGCCCAAGCACUUGGGCCAUCCUCCACUGCACUCCCAGGCCACAGCAGAGAGCUGGACUGGAAGAGGAGCCACCAGGACUAGAACCCGGCGCCCAUAUGAGAUGCCGGUGCCGCAGGCGGAGGAUUAACCAGAUAAACAACCAAGAGAAGCUACUGAAGACCACAGUUGGUUAUCAAGCUGCAGCCACAGUUUCAGUUCCUAGGCUAGAAACUUGGAAGCCUAAAUAUGACUGGAGUGCCAAGGGUCCCAAAACUGGAGGCACGCUGUCGCGCUAUCAAUGAAGUGUGAAGACGACUGCUCCCUUGACUAACCCAGCCUUCAUGCUUCUUCAUCCUUCUAGCUAUGUUUGUGUUCACCCACCCCAACCUGUCACCCAUGCCUGGCAGUAUCCUGCUUGAAUAAAGGGAGGACUGCUACUCAAACAUUCAGUUGUUGUCACUGCACCCCUUCACUCAUUAUAUGACCAAAUUACACACAAAUUACAGUGUGUAUUCCAUGUUAAAGGUGUUUAAAGUUUUGUCAGCAUAGGCAAUGAGAUGAAGCUAUGUUCUCUAAUGCUAUCUUACAAUGAGACAUGACUGAGUGUAAAAGUCAAUAAUCUUAUUAUUUUUUACAUCUGCAUUAUUAAAAUAUCACGGUUUUGGAAUCACACAACUGGUACUUAUUGCUUCUAUAUUAUUCUAUCUGCAGAAGAUGGCUUUAAAACUUUGAGCCAAACCUUGUUUUUUUCAGAACUCCAAUCUCUAGCAGAAACAAACUGUCUUGACUGAUUCAUAAAACUAAUUUUCAACACAAGCCA